UAUUUAUCUAGCAAAAUAAGAUUAGAAAGAGGGAAAAAUAAAUGAAACCCCAACUCUUCUCCAUGAAGCUCCAUCACCGCCAUCAUCAUCUCUUCCUCUCCUUGUGCGCGUUGGACGACGGCGGCCAUAACUCAACGAUCCGACAACCGUUUUCGAUGGUUCAAGCUCGGUUGGAAAGCCAACACAUAGAGGAAUAUGACUCGACGAGGCGACUACCAACGGAACACGGUACUUAAAGAACGCGAUAUGACCUUAGCUUUUGGAUAGAAAACUUGUUAUGUUUCAGGUGUAUAGUAUCGGAUGUAACGGACUUCUAUCCUUGUUCCAGAAGUCCGCGAGUACAAAAAGAAGGAAUAAAUCAGUAGUGCUGCAGUAGUCGAGUCCUAGAGUGUAAUUAUAUUUUGUCAAACGGUUUUAAAUAUUUUGUUUAUACUCUGACAUGUAUAAAGAUUUUAGACUGCGCUUUUAAACCGUUUGUAUAUAUGUGAGAAACAGGGCAUGGCUUGAUAUGAGAUAUCGCUUUGUAAGACCCUGAUUUCUAAAGAUCGUUUUGUAUCGUUUAAAGAAGUUUUAUAAAAACAUUUUGUGAA